CCUUGCAUCCCAGGGAUGAAGCAGACUUGAUCAUGGUGGAUACGCUUUGUGAUGGACUGCCCAACAGUUUUAAAUGUAAAUUGAAAGACCCCAGUACUGGUCCAAGCCCUGAAGACUGCACCCAGGAAAGUGGAGGUAUGGACAGAGGCAGCCGGUGCCUGAGGAAGCUCCACGGGGCAGGCAAGGCCCCCACGUCCAGUCUCAGCCCCUCUUUUGGCCACAUGCCGGAGAAGGAAAUUUUGUGCCUUGAAUAAUGAAUCCCCCUGGAGCCCACGGUACCUGUACUUCUCUUUAGUGUCCACUGAGAAUAACGUGUUCGACAUUCAAGUGACAACACUGGAAAGCAUUUCAAAGCCCUGGAGCCCCAGAACGCUGUACACCCCGACGGCUCUUCUGCCUGCCCUCUCUUUGGCUUCCAAAUGCAGCAAGCUCUUUCUUUACUUAAAAUGUGUUCAUCUUUCACACGCAUCCUGGAUGUACCACAGAAAGACAGUACAGAUAGGCAGGCUCUUAUUUCUGAAGCUGAGCUGGUCCCGCCCAGCACAAAGCUUUAAAGCUGCUAAGGCUCCAGGAUAUUAUCCAGUUUUUAAAAAUGGAAAAACUGGGAACAGGGAGGCUCAAUAUCUUGUCCCAGGCCCAAACAGGCUUUUCUGGAGUCAGUAUCAUUCAACUGGCUCAGGCUGGAUUUUCAUAAGAAAAGAUAAUAAACAUUUACUAAUGUAAUAAAAUAGACACCUUUUAAGUCACAAGCAGUAUCCAAACCUUUGGGACAUUCUAUGGUGCUGAACAGCUAUUUCAUAGAGGCUUUAUGUUAAGGAGCAAGUGCAGAAAAAAAUCUGAAAAUCUCAGUAAGAUGAGAAAACGAAAGCUUUACAAAAUGGUAGAAGAAAGUAGUCUCUCAUGCCUAAACUUCCAAAUAAGUUUUUGUUUGUUUGUUUUGGGUUUUUAGUUGAGCAUUCUUUCUGGUUUGAAAUAGAUUCAGAAGGCUUUUUAAAACAAGUCACUUUUGGCCAAAUAUAUUAAGGUAUAACCAAAUGAUACCAUAGAUCCAUUUAGAAAACAGAAAGUUCUUUACUGACAUGAAAGGAUUUCUAAGACAUAUUCAUAAGUAAAAAAGCAAAUAUACUACUAUUUGUAUGGGAUGAAAAAAUAAAAGAAACAUGUAUAU
rnacentral:lncRNA from 1 species